rnacentral:rRNA from 1 species
UACGGAAGGCAGCAGUGGGGAAUAUUGCACAAUGGGCGAAAGCCUGAUGCAGCUAUGCCGCGUGUAUGAAGAAGGCCUUAGGGUUGUAAAGUACUUUCAGCAGGGAGGAAAAAAUAAAACUAAUAAUUUUAUUUUGUGACGUUACCUGAAGAAGAAGCACCGGCUAACUCCGUGCCAGCAGCCGCGGUAAUACGGAGGGUGCAAGCGUUAAUCAGAAUUACUGGGCGUAAAGAGCGCGUAGGUGGUUUUUUUAAAGUCAGAUGUGAAAUCCCUAGGCUUAACCUAGGAACUGCAUUUUGAAACUGAAAACUAGAGUAUCGUAGAGGGAGGUAGAAUUCUAGGUGUAGCGGUGAAAUGCGUAGAUAUCUGGAGGAAUACCUGUGGCGAAAGCGGCCUCCUAAACGAAUACUGACACUGAGUGCGAAAGCGUGGGGAGCAAACAGGGAUUAGAUACC